rnacentral:other from 1 species
CAAAUCCUGAGGUGUACGUGAAGAACGAUACAGUUUUGACCUACAAUUAUAUCGUAAGGGAGCUUUAAAUCCAAUUGCGGAUGACAUGCCAUUUAUGGACGUCAAAGUCAAUUGUGCGAGCACCCACCUGUUGAAUGCAGGUUCAAAACGAUACAGUUUCUAACGGCACAUUUGGGAUUUGU